AUUAUGACCAUCGCUUCUGUCUGACCAAGGUCUGUUUUCCUGAUCGGUUGGAUGCCUCAGCGUGCAUUCCCAGGACUUUAUGAGAUGAUCCACUGAAGGAUUUCAGCAAGAACAUUCUGGAGUGUCAACUGAUACGUUUUUCAGUCUCAGCUUGCUCACUGUUUGAGUAGUGUCACAUGUACAUGCGUGUUAUUAGAGGCGAAUGCACGUUUUUGUUACUGAGAGAGUGGCCCUAGAGCAGAUGCCAGCGAACUGCAGCCCACAGCCCGAAUCUAGCCUGCCGCCUCUUUUCAUGUGGCUCACAAGCUAGUCAUAGUAUUAUAUUUUAAUAGUGUGGGAAAACAUCAGAAGAAGAACAAUAUUUUGUGGAACAUGAAAAUUAUAUGUUUACAUUUUAGCAUCCAUAAACGUGGUUUCAUUAGAACACACUUCUAUGGUUUGAAUGUCCUCUCCAAAACUCAUGUUGAAACUUAGUCUCUAACGUCACUAUAUUAAGAGAUAGGGCCUUUAAGAAGUGAUGGGGGCAUGGGAACUCUGCCCUCAUGAAUGGAUUAAUCUAUUCAUGGAUUAAUGGAUUAAUGCAUUAAUGGAUUGGUGGUUUAUCAUCGCAAGGAAACUGGCAGUUUUGUAAGAAGAGGAAGGGAGACAGUGGCAGGGAAACUGGCGGCUUUGUAGCAAGAGGAAGUGAGACUUGAGUCCUCUCACCACAGGUUGCCCUGCACCAACCACCACAGGACUCUGUAGAGAGUCCUGGCUAGCAAGAGGAUCUUCACCAGAUGUGGCCUCUUGACCUGAGACUUCUCAGCCUCCAUAACUGUAAGAAAUAAAUUCCUUUUCUUUAUAAAUGACCCAGUUUUAGGCAUUCUGUUUUAAGCAACAGAAAAUUAACUAAGACAAUGCUCAUGCCCAUUCACUACAUAUUAUCCACGGCUGUUGCCUGCAUUUUGAUGGCAGAGUUGAGCAGUUGCAACAAAGACCAAAUGGGCCAGUAAAAGCCGAAAAUAUUUACUAUGUGGUUCUUACAGAAAACACUUGCCAACCCCUGCCCUAAUCACUGGCUUCAUUUCCUGG
rnacentral:lncRNA from 10 species